rnacentral:rRNA from 1 species
UACAGAGGUGGCAAGCGUUGUUCGGAAUUACUGGGCGUAAAGGGCGCGUAGGCGGUUCGUUAAGUCCUGUGUGAAAUCCCCCGGCUCAACUGGGGAACUGCACAGGAAACUAGCGGGCUUGAGUUCGGGAGAGGGAAGCGGAAUUCCGGGUGUAGCGGUGAAAUGCGUAGAGUAUCCGGAGGAACACCGGUGGCGAAGGCGGAUCUCUGGGCCAUUACGUGACGCUGGAGGAGCGAAAGCGUGGGGAGCGAACGAG